GUGGGUGUAGCUCAACCUGGUUAGAGCAUCUGACUGUGGAUCAGAGGGUUGCGGGUUCAAUUCCCGUCACCCACC
rnacentral:tRNA from 2 species